rnacentral:rRNA from 1 species
CCUACGGGGGGCAGCAGUGGGGGAUAUUGCACAAUGGGGGGAACCCUGAUGCAGCGACGCCGCGUGUGGGAAGACGGUCCUCUGGAUUGUAAACCACUGUCCCCAGGGACGAAAAUGACGGUACCUGGGGAGGAAGCUCCGCCUAACUACGUGCCAGCAGCCGCGGUAAUACGUAGGGAGCGAGCGUUGUCCGGAAUUACUGGGGGUAAAGGGAGCGUAGGCGGGGAUGCAAGUUGGGGGUCAAAACUACCGGCUAAACUGGUAGUCGCACUCGAAACUGCAGUUCUUGAGUGAAGGAGAGGCAGGCGGAAUGCCUAGUGUAGCGGUGAAAUGCGUAGAUAUGAGGAGGAACACCAGUGGCGAAGGCGGCCUGCUGGACUUUUACUGACGCUGAGGCUCGAAAGUGUGGGGAGCAAACAGGAUUAGAUACCCCAGUAGUC